UCCGGUUUGUCACCGGCAGUCUCACAUGAGUCCCCAACUAAAUGAUGGCAACUAAGGGCGAGGGUUGCGCUCGUUGCGGGACUUAACCCAACAUCUCACGACACGAGCUGACGACAGCCAUGCAGCACCUGUGUUCCCGCCAGCCGAACUGAAGAGAUCCAUCUCUGGUUCUCAUACGGGACAUGUCAAGGGCUGGUAAGGUUCUUCGCGUUGCUUCGAAUUGAACCACAUGCUCCACCGCUUGUGCGGGCCCCCGCCAAUUCCUUUGAGUUUUAAUCUUGCGACCGUACUCCCCAGGCGGGAUGCUUAAUGCGUUAGCUGCGCCACUGACGAGUAAACCCGCCAACGGCUAGCAUCCAUCGUUUACGGCGUGGACUAC
rnacentral:misc_RNA from 1 species